UCCAUCUACAUACAGCUGAGGUAUGUUCUAUAAAAAAUGCUUUGAAAUUGUUUUAUAAAUCAUGGGUAGAGACACUUGAUUGUAUGGUUUGAUUCCAAGACUGCAAUCUCUUAGGUGUAGAUUCCACUGAAGAGACGAUAGAAAUGCUAGAAAAUAUUUCAGUAUAUUGACUUGUUAUGUGAAGCAAUAAGGGGAGUGACUUUCCAUCAUGUCUUCAGGGAAGGAAACUAGUGUGCGGAU
rnacentral:lncRNA from 1 species